rnacentral:rRNA from 1 species
AUACGUAGGGGGCGAGCGUUGUCCGGAAUGAUUGGGCGUAAAGGGCGCGUAGGCGGCCUGUUAAGUCUGGAGUGAAAGUCCUGUUUUCAAGAUGGGAAUUGCUUUGGAUACUGAUGGGCUUGAGUGCAGGAGAGGUUAUCGGAAUUCCCGGUGUAGCGGUGAAAUGCGUAGAGAUUGGGAGGAACACCAGUGGCGAAGGCGACUUACUGGGCCGUAACUGACGCUGAGGCGCGAAAGCGUGGGGAGCGAACAGGAUUAGAUACCCUGGUAGUCCACGCGGUAAACGAUGAAUGCUAGGUGUCGGGUUUCUAUAGAGAUUCGGUGCCGCAGCAAACGCAAUAAGUAUUCCACCUGGGGAGUACGUUCGCAAGAAUGAAACUCAAAGGAAUUGACGGGG